CCUCGGGGGGCCGCUGCGGGGAGGGUCUUCUUGGGGCCUUCUUGCCCCGCCCCAGUCCGGCCGCGGCUGGGGUUCGAGCCACUGCUCCGCUGGCCUGAGUGUCCGGGGCAUGAGCCGGGUUUGGGGGGCCGGAGGGCCUCGGUGCCAGGCGGCGCUCGCGGUCCUGGCUUCUCUGUGCCGGGCCCGGCCGCCCCCUCUCGGGCUGGACGUGGAGACUUGUCGGAGCUUCGAGCUGCAGCCCCCGGAGCAGAGUCCAAGCGCGGCCGACUCAGGCACCUCUGUCAGCCUCCUCGCCGUGGUAGUUAUUGUGUGUGGCGUGGCCCUGGUGGCAGUUUUUCUCUUUCUCUUUUGGAAGCUGUGCUGGACGCCCUGGAGGAACAAGGAGGCCUCCAGCCCUUCUUCUGCUAACCCUGCUUCAGAGACCCUCCAGAGCCCCAGCUCCAGAGGCAACAUGGCGGACAAGCUGAAGGCGGACCCCAGCGCCCUGGGCUUCCUGGAGGCAGCUGUAAAGAUCAGCCAUACCUCCCCAGAUAUUCCAGCCGAGGUGCAGAUGUCGGUCAAAGAGCACAUCAUGCGUCACACAAAGCUGCAGCGACAGACUACAGAACCAGCAUCUUCCACCAGGCACACAUCCUUCAAGCGCCACCUGCCACGACAGAUGCAUGUCUCCAGCGUGGACUACGGCAAUGAGCUGCCUCCGGCUGCCGCCGAGCAGCCCACCAGUAUUGGCCGUAUCAAGCCUGAGCUCUACAAGCAGAAGUCAGUGGAUGGGGAUGAAGCCAAGUCUGAGGCCGCCAAGAGCUGUGGGAAGAUCAACUUCAGCCUCCGCUAUGACUAUGAGAGUGAGACCCUGAUUGUGCGCAUCCUGAAGGCAUUUGACCUCCCUGCCAAGGACUUUUGUGGAAGUUCUGACCCUUAUGUUAAGAUCUACCUCCUGCCUGACCGCAAGUGCAAGCUGCAGACCCGGGUGCACCGCAAGACCCUGAACCCCACCUUUGAUGAGAACUUCCACUUCCCCGUGCCCUAUGAGGAGCUGGCUGACCGCAAGCUGCAUCUCAGUGUCUUUGACUUUGACCGCUUCUCCCGCCAUGACAUGAUUGGGGAGGUCAUCCUGGACAAUCUCUUUGAGGCCUCUGACCUGUCCCGGGAGACCUCCAUCUGGAAGGACAUCCAGUACGCCACGAGUGAAAGUGUGGACUUGGGAGAGAUCAUGUUCUCUCUCUGCUACCUGCCCACAGCAGGCAGGCUCACCCUCACAGUGAUCAAAUGUCGCAAUCUCAAAGCAAUGGACAUCACAGGCUACUCAGAUCCCUAUGUCAAAGUAUCCCUACUGUGUGAUGGACGGAGACUGAAAAAGAAGAAAACAACCAUAAAAAAGAACACUCUUAACCCUGUGUACAAUGAGGCCAUCAUCUUUGACAUCCCCCCAGAAAACAUGGAUCAAGUGAGCCUGCUCAUCUCCGUUAUGGACUAUGAUAGAGUUGGCCACAAUGAGAUCAUAGGAGUCUGUAGAGUGGGGAUCAAUGCUGAAGGCCUUGGCAGGGACCACUGGAAUGAGAUGCUGGCAUACCCACGGAAGCCCAUUGCACACUGGCACUCCUUGGUGGAGGUAAAGAAAUCCUUCAAAGAGGGGACCCCUCGGUUGUGAUUUCAUUCACGUGGAUGCUGCAAGCGGAGAGACAGCCACUGGAGUUAGGAUGGCAGGGCCGAGCUGCCAGCUUCGACAGUGAGAGCUCAUGCCCGUCUCCAAAACCACCUCCGACACCAUGAGCUGCACAGUUGAGCCGACGGGACUCAGCAAUGUUAUUUCCGCACUUGUUCCAGUCUCUAAACACAGUGUUUGUGCACUCACAGCGGUGGCCGCAGCAGCAGCCACUGCCUGCCAAGCCCAUGGUCUUAACUGCUCUUGUGCAGGGCAAGGCCCCAGACUCUUGUCCUGUGUGAUCAGAUCUGUCUUAGUCUUUUCUGUCUCCCGAGGUGACGUUUCUUGUGGUUUUUCACUUUGUUUGGGUCUACUGUUGAGAAAGAAAUAAAAACACAACGAUUAGAGAUACAAAAUGAAGAAUGGAGAGCCCGGAAGCUGGUUCUGGGAAAUACAAUGUAAGAUAGCAGUCUUUUGGGGGAAAACAGACUGAAUCUCUGAAAUUUCGUGCCUCCAUCAAAUGUUGACCCCUGGAGAUGCACCAGAAGGAUGGAGCUGUGGCUGUAUUUUCAGUCCCCUCCAAGAAUGGAACCUAUCAAUUUAGGAGCCUCUCCAAGGUGAAUUAUUCUUCGUGGAAGCUCUUCACUGCUGUGACACAAGACAAGAUGUGGUCCUCUUGUCCCAUGUUGAAAUCAUGAGACCUCUGACAUGUUUGUGACUCUGAAGGAGGACCCCUGUUCUCCUCUUUGUUGGCUUUCCCCAACUGGAAACAUUUUGAUUCCACGUGGGAACUUAAUCAUUUUCCUUAGGAAUGAUCCUGCUGAAAGUAACCACGCCAUGUUUUCCAACACUACACAGUUAAUGAUCACAUUUGUUUGAAAACAGGAUUUUAGUUCUCAUUGUAAAGAAAGGAGGCACAUAUGCUCCAGAAUGAUUCCUGUGUUAUACAUAGCUUUAUAAUUCCAUGAAAUACCAAGCAGCUGUUUAAAAUGCCUAACCAGAGCAAAGAAAAAUCUAGAUAACACAUUCUUUUUCUGAAUGGGGCAUUUUGAAAUCUGAACCACAUUUUUUGAGUCUGCUUGUCUAUGAAGAGCCUUCCCUUAUUUGAAACACAGUUAGCCAGAGACUAGCUCAGCCCCCUGGACUCUGGGAAAAUAACUCACUUUAAACUUUAGUUCUAUAAAUUAAUAAGUAUUCUGUGUUGUUUGUUUUAGUCGUAGUGAGAUCUUUGCUUGUUGGUUUGUUUGUUUUCCAUUAGAUCUCUACCUUAGGCCAAAUUCAGUUUAGAAAACAAAAAGAAUGACUGUAUUUACAAUAGCACAUCUCUACAGAGUGACCAGUGGCCUUCCCACCACACCCUGUAAGCACAUGAAAGUGAGUUUCCACUCCAACUUAUGGCUACUGUAGGACUUGCAUGAAGCAAGUCAGCUUGGAAAAAUCCCUUCUUUCAACAACGGAAGGUCAAGAACACAAAAGCUAUCUGUAUACCUCGUGUCUUACUCUUUACAUAUGCCUCAUGCUAUAGGAGUAGCUAUUUAAUAAAGUCAUUGCUAUUUUAAGUCAAGCCACCAAGUUUCUCUGCUGCCCUAACUUUAUAUAGUCUCUUUGAGGCAGAAGAAUGACUGGAUUGGACAUGAGCCAACAGGAUAUUGUGGCAAGAGAAGCCAUGUUUCUAGUAAAUGUAGAUGAAUCUGAAGCCCGCUGAGUAUGAGCCUUAGGCUAGCGGCUGUGUGUAAAGAUGAUUUUUCUCUUCAAAUACCUUACAAUUGCUAAGUCUUUCUAGCCAGACAGUGCCCUGUUUGGAAGUUCUCUUGAGAGGGAGAAAAAUCACAAGGUCAUGACAAGAGUCUCAUCAAGCAAGCAACUUCAUUGUGUUUCUUGACUCUAGAUGGGCCUCACUAAGGGAAAUGUCACAGCACACAGCAGUAUAACUAGGAAUGGACCAAUUGAUUUGCUGGGUCAUAAGAAGCUCAGAAGUUAGUGAGUAUGUCCUCCUCCCAGAAGUGGGCUCCAAAUGUAUGCCCAGCUGCCAGCGCGAAACCCUUAGGCAGGUGGGAUGUUCCACUCUAAGAUUUUAGAAAGAAGGGUGUGGUCUGCCUGAAUCCUGGAAUUGCAGCUGCCUAUCUGAGGCAGCUUCUAUAUCCCAACUACUCUUUUCCGUAAGUGAACAUUUUCUGGAAAUGUUUCUGGAAAUGGCACCUGGUUAUGGCUACACCCCUCUCACCACCUGAGUCAACCGCUUUAGCGCCACCAGCCUCAGAAGACAUGAGGCAUGGAAACCCACUCCAGAAAGACUUCUAGCUCCUGGGUUCCCUCCUCCAAGUCCCCACCAAAGGUGGCCAGACCAGUCCUCUUCACUCUGAAGCAUGAAUGAUAUGAGCAGGCCUCACCAUGUGUUAGCCAGGACUCUUCCCUCACCGAUGAGACUUAAUGACCAUAAAUGCAGAAGAAACUGAAAUUCAAAAUUGGCUCUUUUGUUGGCUUCCCCUGGUACAAGAAACCCCUUUCGGGUGGCAAGCUUUGCUGAAGUUAUGAUAACCAGGGGCAUUUGCACAUAGAGGUUUGCUAAAAACACCAAGUUCUUCUCUCCUUUAUUUAGAAGUGUUUCUUGGCUGAGAGAUGCUCCCCCCCCCCUUUGCACUCACCCAGGAUGUUAAUUAAUUGUAUCAUCAUUUAAAAAAAAUUAUGUUGUUAGUUACUGCUUUGUGUCUUCCCACCCCUGUCACAGCCUGGAGUUUUUAUUCAAUUAAAUCUCUGUCUCUUGCCCA